AACGCUAGCUACAGGCUUAACACAUGCAAGUCGAGGGGCAGCAUGGUCUUAGCUUGCUAAGGCCGAUGGCGACCGGCGCACGGGUGAGUAACACGUAUCCAACCUGCCGUCUACUCUUGGACAGCCUUCUGAAAGGAAGAUUAAUACAAGAUGGCAUCAUGAGUCCGCAUGUUCACAUGAUUAAAGGUAUUCUGGUAGACGAUGGGGAUGCGUUCCAUUAGAUAGUAGGCGGGGUAACGGCCCACCAAGCCUUCGAUGGAUAGGGGUUCUGAGAGGAAGGUCCCCCACAUUGGAACUGAGACACGGUCCAAACUCCUACGGGAGGCAGCAGUGAGGAGUAUUGGUCAAUGGGCGAGAGCCUGAACCAGCCAAGUAGCGUGAAGGAUGAAGGUCCUACGGAUUGUAAACUUCUUUUAUACGGGAAUAAAGUUUCCUACGUGUAGGAUUUUGUAUGUACCGUAUGAAUAAGCAUCGGCUAACUCCGUGCCAGCAGCCGCGGUAAUACGGAGGAUGCGAGCGUUAUCCGGAUUUAUUGGGUUUAAAGGGAGCGCAGACGGGAGAUUAAGUCAGUUGUGAAAGUUUGCGGCUCAACCGUAAAAUUGCAGUUGAUACUGGUUUCCUUGAGUGCAGUUGAGGCAGGCGGAAUUCGUGGUGUAGCGGUGAAAUGCUUAGAUAUCACGAAGAACUCCGAUUG
rnacentral:rRNA from 1 species